rnacentral:rRNA from 1 species
UACGUAGGGUGCAAGCGUUUGUCCGGAAUUAUUGGGCGUAAAGAGCUCGUAGGCGGUUUGUCGCGUCGAAUGUGAAAACCCGGGGCUCAACCCCGGGCCUGCAUUCGAUACGGGCAGACUAGAGUUCGGUAGGGGAGUCUGGAAUUCCUGGGUGUAGCGGUGAAAUGCGCAGAUAUCAGGAGGAACACCGGUGGCGAAGGCGGGACUCUGGGCCGAUACUGACGCUGAGGAGCGAAAGCGUGGGGAGCAAACAGG